CGCAAGCCCUUUACAUGCAGUGGAGCCGCCGUAUCUCGCCGUUCAAGAUAUGCGUACUCGUAAGUGGCAUUUUAAUUUCACGUUGUGUAAUGCAUGACUGUCUUUUUCAAGUGAACAAAGGUCGCUUUGUAUUGUGUAAAUGGUUUUGCAACGUAUGAUAAACUCCUUGUCUUUCGGGCUUAUUUUUUCUGACAGGAAGAAAAAAAAAAGAGGCUUUACAUGAGAACGGAUCAAGCGUUCGAGAGUUGGGACAGGGAAAUGUGAGACGUACUUUCAUGUAUAUAUUUCUAAUAUUAUUUUUUCGUCUUGUAUUCUCGUUAAUUUUUCUCUAGGAAACACUGGAACGACACUGCUUAAAUUGAAGCACAGUGUGCGAAUGACCUGCUACGCUCGGAACUGUUAUCACCAUUCGGGAAGAAAUUGGGUAAGAAUGGAUUGUGUGUGGCGCGCUUCACCGCAUGUGGACUAGAGUAGAUCUAGGAACAUCAGACAAGAAGACACGUAUGUGAAACCCUGCGGAUAGCCCAUAUGUAAGUUCUUCCUCAAUUUUUCUUUUGUUGCAUUUUCGUAGUUUACGUGUAAUACUUUGUCACCGCGGUCUCGACGUUAUGUAUACCUAUACAUUUGUCUCGUGGCAGUCUGCGUGCUAUUUUGUUUGUGCAACUAUGUGUUGUAUUCAUUUAUCGCGCUGCCUGGAUGGUUUUUUUUUUCACUGAUAUUCCGACCAAAGUCGGUAAACCUAUCCUUCCUGUCCUCAUGUUUCCUUGGGCGGCUCUAAAGCGUAUCUUAGAGGAAUAUUUAGCUUCAGAUUCCCGCAUGGAACAGAUGGUGAACUUUUUUUCCAGAUACGGAGGAACGGACACCGGUCGUGUCGUGAGCACUAUUCUGCAGGGCAUACUUACAAAUGAAGCUGCACUGCAGUUCAGCUGGAAAGGGUCGCAGGGGAGGAAGCACGCCUUCGUGAAGCUCAUGGCCAUCACGAAUAUAACAUCUGUGAGGAGCACGUUCCCUGACGCUUCA
rnacentral:lncRNA from 1 species